GUGGCAGCACUAGACAAAGUACUGAGCAUGAAGAGGGGGAGGAGGCGAGCAAAGGGAAGGGAUGAGAACAGUGUCUGUCUACUGCUAAGCCCCUGCAUAUGAGAAAAACAAACAUUGACGUAAUUUCCCUGCGCCUACUGUCUCCUAGGCAACGCUUCCUGUUGGAUGAGUAGCUCUGCAGCACUAGCUUGUACCGGGCCUGGCACAAUGACUGGGCAAUAAGUCGCAUACAAGAGUAAGGGCUAGGGUGAUGCAAUGGAAGUUGCAGAGGAGAAGGGAUGGAGUCUGGCAGCAUGGACGGUGUGUGCGGUGCUGCUGCCAGUUCUGCUCACUCUUUGGUGCAGUGUUCGCAGGUCCCAGAGGAGGAAUAUCCCCCGGACAGGGAAGCACGGCUGGCAGGACACCGACCUCUUCGGGAAACCCACGUAUUGCUCGGUGUGCGGGCAGCAUAUCCUGCAUGGGGUGUACUGUCGCUCCUGUGGCCUGUGUGCGGAUGAAGCCUGUGUCCGAAGAGCCAAUAGGCGCUUUCCCUGCAAGGAAAUCAUACUGUGGGCUGAGGGCAGGGGCCACCACUGGGUGCGGGGAAAUGUGCCUCUGUGCAGCCUUUGCUCCGUGUGCGGCCAGCAGUGCGGCUGUCAGCCCAAGCUCUGUGACUACAGGUGUAUUUGGUGCCAACGGACUGUGCACGAUGACUGCAUGCAGAACAACUUGAAAAUCGAAGACUGUGAUUUUGGUGAAUUUAAAAAUCUUAUAAUUCCUCCAAGUUACCUUUCUGCUGUCACUCAGUUGAAGAAGGGCAAAACUACUGAUUAUGAAAAGUUAGCAUCUUCCAUGGGGAAGCAGUGGACUCCCUUAAUAGUCUUGGCUAAUACUCGUAGUGGGAAUAACAUGGGUGAAGCCCUACUGAGUGAAUUUAAAGGUCUCCUGAAUCCCAUCCAGGUGUUUGACCUGAGCAAAGUCUCCCCAUUUAAAGCUCUUCAGCUGUGUACAUUAUUGCCAGACAAAUCGGCCAAGGUGCUUGUUUGCGGAGGGGAUGGCACUGUUGGUUGGGUUCUAGAUGCUGUGGAUGAGAUGAAGAUUAAGGGUCUGGAAGGUUGUGUUCCACAAGUAGCAGUUUUACCUCUCGGGACAGGCAAUGACCUGGCUAAUACAUUGGGUUGGGGAGCGGGGUACGCUGGAGAUGUGCCUGUAGAACAAAUACUUCGGAACAUAAUGGAUGCUGAUGGUAUUAAGCUUGACAGGUGGAAAGUUCAAGUAACAAACAAGGGUUACAGUUUGAGAAAACCAAAGGUGUUAUCGAUGAACAACUACUUUUCAGUAGGGCCUGAUGCAUUAAUGGCUUUAAAUUUUCAUACCCAUCGUGAGAAAACUCCUUCCCUGUUCUCCAGUAGACUUGUUAAUAAGGCAGUUUACCUUUUUUAUGGGACAAAGGAUUGCUUGGUUCAGGAAUGCAAAGAUCUCAACAAGAAAGUAGAGCUGGAGUUAGAUGGAGAGAGAAUAGACUUACCAAAUUUGGAAGGAAUUGUAGUGCUGAACAUUGGUUAUUGGGGAGGAGGCUGCCGACUUUGGGAAGGAAUGGGAGAUGAACCAUAUCCCUUAUCAAGACACGAUGAUGGGCUGCUGGAAGUUGUUGGAGUUUAUGGAUCCUUCCACUGUGCACAGAUUCAAGUGAAGUUGGCAAAUCCUGUGAGACUUGGCCAAGCACACACUGUACGGCUACUCUUGAAAAGUUCAAAAAUGCCAAUGCAGGUGGAUGGAGAGCCCUGGGCCCAAGGUCCAUGCACGGUCACCAUUACUCACAAGACACAUGCACUAAUGUUGUACCAUUCAGGAGAACAGACAGAUGAUGAUGAUGAUGCUUCCAGUGGAUCGGACCAUGAGAAGCAGGGGGAUAAUGAGCAGAGUGAUGAGGAUAUUUAGCCUUCUAACCAGCAGUUCUCCCUAUCGAUUUCCACUGCUAUAUCAGGAUGACUACAGUUAUCUGUCAGUUUUAAACCUUUUCCUGUAUUUGUGUAAGGUUGAAGCACAAGUUUCUCUGCAGUGCUGGACUGUCUCCAUACACCAGCGACUUUGUUCAGAACUUGCAUAUUGAGCAAUGGCAGAGGGGAGAAAAGUCAUCACAGCCUCCAUCUUUUUAUUGAUACUUCGACUUCUGUUGUCCUUUAGCUCCCAAGAAUUUUCAUCAUGCAAUGCGUGAGUUUUAUCCUUUACUUUAAAGGUUCACCUUGCUGUAUUGACACUUAAUUUUAAAUGUGCAUAUAACUGUAGGAGAUGUUUUCUUUGUCCACACUGGAAAAUGAUCAUACAUAUUUACUGAUCCUUUAAAAAAAUCACAUAAUAUAUUGUCUCAGUUUUACGUGUAUUUACGUUUUAGAAAAUUGUGUUUUGUCCAGUGUUUUGCGUUCAUUCAUACAUAAGUGAAAAAUGUAGUAUUUUUACCAGUGCAGGAAUAAAUGUCACAUAUACCCACCCGCAAAGAUGUAUGUAAAAUUGCUCACAGUGCUCUUCUGUUGCAAUUUACAUUCUUUUUCUUAAUUUUCAUGAUAUUAGUAGUUUCACACUUCAGCCCUAUUAUAGAUGCCUAUAAACUAUUACAGAUGCAUAAAGGGUCUUCUGAUGCUUUUCUGCUAGAGAAUUAUGCAGAGAAGUAAACUGACAUAGAUAGUCAGCCUGUCAGCGCACAUAAGGGGCAGAUUGUGGCAUGAAAAAGCAUUCUCCCAUGUUUCCACCCUAAAAUCUGAUUUAAGUGUGCACUGACAGGCUGUUUCUCUGACUGUCAGCACAUAUCCAAGAUAGUGCACACAUAAACGGACACAAAAUAAUAGUACCAGUACAAUUGUAUGGUUACAGUCAGUAAUGAGUUAAUUUACUAUUGCCUUAGUUUCGGAGUGCAUGUAACACUGAGGGGUUGAAACAUAUCUGUUGUCUAUUUAUCACAUCCUUGUUCAGUUUUUUGGAGGGGCCUCAAAUCGCUGCAGUUUUUGGCUUAUAGUACUUUUAUCAAUUUUCAAGUUUGUGAAUUUUUUUAAAUUGUAUAAACUCGCAUAUCAAUCGCUUGACUAUUUAUUAAUAAGGAAAACUCGUUAGGGCUGUGACACACGGGGAGAUUCAUUGCGCUACUUUCAAGCCAGUGGGAUGGCAUUGUGGGGAGAUUAGUUGCCCACGACAACGGUGAUUUGUUGCGGCACAACUAAUCUCCGGUGUACCCCUGCCUUUACAGACUUGAAUACCACAAAUUUUUAGCGUUUCCAGACUCGAAGAAUUUGAGUUCACUUUGCCUAGGACAACUCCCUUUGACUUCUAUAGAAACUCGCAAGCUUUUAGAUGGCAAAUUUUUUACAUUGGAGUUUUUUUGUUUUUUUUAAUAAAUACCAGACAUUUGAGUUUUUGAAAUAUAAUUAGAAUUUGAGUUUUUUAGCGCAAAAAAUGAAUCUUCCCCCUAAAUGUCAUAUGCCAGCCUGGCGGAUGGGCAGCAAAAUACCUCUCCAUUGUCCUGAAUGGUAAUAGCCUGAAUGCUGCAGCUGUAGGUCCAGCAAUUUUCCACUUAGAAGGACAGGAGUAAAUGGUAGUAGCCUGAGUGUACCAGCAGGGUCCAGGCCAAUACUAUUCAGGGCAAUGGAUGAGCAAUUUCAAGUGUUCUCUCACCCUCCUGCCAUGCUGGAAAUCGCACAAGAGAUAAAAGCCUUACAAAAGAGUAAAUAUGUCUGGGAUUUAUUUGUCAGGUCAUAUAAUAUUUGUAAAUGGAUACAACUUUGUGUAAUGUUUUAAUUCCAGUCUUAUCCCUUUAUAGCGAAGGUUUAUUUAUCUAAUAAAUAAGAUACACAGUCGGAUGAAUGCUUACUCUCACUGAGGAACACAGCAGGCCCUGCAAAUGGCCACACAUUUAUUUUGUACUUAAUAAAGGGGUCUAUGAAAUUACUUACAAGUUUUAUUGUGCAGCUAUCAGGCUUAGAUUUAUUAGCCUAACAACAAGGUAGCAGUUUGGAAGAUGAAUAUUGAAGCUGAAGCCUUGCAGUUAUUAUGGUUUUGGUUGCCUGGGUCAGUGACUCUGACAAUCGGAUAGCAAUAUCAAUUGCAUGCCAGAAAUAAGGAGAAUAGGAAAUCCAAUAAUUAGAAAAAACAAAAUAGGUAUAUA